rnacentral:rRNA from 1 species
UAGCAUAUCAAUAAGCGGAGGAAAAGAAACCAACAGGGAUUGCCUUAGUAACGGCGAGUGAAGCGGCAACAGCUCAAAUUUGAAAGCUGGCUCCUUCGGAGUCCGCGUUGUAAUUUGUAGAGGAUGAUUCGGCGAGGGCUCCCGCCUAAGUCCCCUGGAACGGGGCGUCAUAGAGGGUGAGAAUCCCGUAUGCGGUGGGUUGCCUUAGCCAUGUGAAUCUCCUUCGACGAGUCGAGUUGUUUGGGAAUGCAGCUCUAAAUGGGAGGUAAAUUUCUUCUAAAGCUAAAUACCGGCCAGAGACCGAUAGCGCACAAGUAGAGUGAUCGAAAGAUGAAAAGCACUUUGGAAAGAGAGUUAAAAAGUACGUGAAAUUGUUGAAAGGGAAGCGCUUGCAGCCAGACUUGUCCGCAGUUGCUCAACCGGUCUCCUGACCGGUGUACUCUUCUGCGGCCAGGCCAGCAUCAGUUCGGGCGGUCGGAUAAAGGCCCUGGGAAUGUAGCUCCUCUCGGGGAGUGUUAUAGCCCAGGGUGGAAUGCGGCCAGCCUGGACUGAGGAUCUCGCUUCGGCUAGGAUGCUGGCGUAAUGGCUGUAAGCGGCCCGUCUUGAAACACGGACCAAGGAGUCUAACAUCUAUGCGAGUGUUUGGGUGUCAAACCCAUGCGCGUAAUGAAAGUGAACGGAGGUGGGAACCCUCACGGGUGCACCAUCGACCGAUCCUGAUGUCUUCGGAUGGAUUUGAGUAAGAGCAUAGCUGUUGGGACCCGAAAGAUGGUGAACUAUGCCUGAAUAGGGUGAAGCCAGAGGAAACUCUGGUGGAGGCUCGCAGCGGUUCUGACGUGCAAAUCGAUCGUCAAAUUUGGGUAUAGGGGCGAAAGACUAAUCGAACCAUCUAGUAGCUGGUUCUGCGA